CAAGCCCUGGAAACGGGGUCUAAUACCGGAUAACACUCUGUCCCGCAUGGGACGGGGUUAAAAGCUCCGGCGGUGAAGGAUGAGCCCGCGGCCUAUCAGCUUGUUGGUGGGGUAAUGGCCUACCAAGGCGACGACGGGUAGCCGGCCUGAGAGGGCGACCGGCCACACUGGGACUGAGACACGGCCCAGACUCCUACGGGAGGCAGCAGUGGGGAAUAUUGCACAAUGGGCGAAAGCCUGAUGCAGCGACGCCGCGUGAGGGAUGACGGCCUUCGGGUUGUAAACCUCUUUCAGCAGGGAAGAAGCGAAAGUGACGGUACCUGCAGAAGAAGCGCCGGCUAACUACGUGCCAGCAGCCGCGGUAAUACGUAGGGCGCAAGCGUUGUCCGGAAUUAUUGGGCGUAAAGAGCUCGUAGGCGGCUUGUCACGUCGGAUGUGAAAGCCCGGGGCUUAACCCCGGGUCUGCAUUCGAUACGGGCUAGCUAGAGUGUGGUAGGGGAGAUCGGAAUUCCUGG
rnacentral:rRNA from 1 species